UUGGCGUGAAAUGAGGACGGCAGCCUGGGAGACAGCAUCCCAGACACCUCUGAGAAACUGUUCCAAAAAGGUAGGGGGGAAGAUCCGUAUAUAUGUGAUUUUGGUGAAAGGGAAAAACGUGCAACCAAGCACGUAUCGUUUACAGAAGGUUACUGCUGGUCACAAGGAGCCGUCGUCACCAUGGAGGAGUUUGGUAUUUUUCUAGAUAAGAGGAGACACAGAAUUGGGCCCAUAAAGUUGGCUCCUGAAGAUAUCUAACUCUCUGAAGACCUGUUCUGCCAGUUUUUCCCAGAGCACAGAGGGCCUCAUGUCAGCCCUCCACCCUGAACUGCCUUCGGGCGGUGUUGCCAGCAGCUGCAGCAGCGCGGGAUUCCAUCUUUGCAGAGACAGACGGCAAAUGCCAAUGGCGAGACUUGACAAGAGUGUCUGCUGCUAACUUUCAGAUUGUUCACAAAAAUCAUAGCAUCCAUGUAAACGUAGAGAGGAGUAAUGAAGGAGAUGGGGCAAAACGCUGAUAACUGAUAACUGGGUGAAGCAUACACGGGGAUUCUUGCUACUAUUCUUAUAACUCAUUGCUGGCGGUUGGCUUCUAGAACACGGUCCUCACGCGUUUCUCCGCAGCAUCUCCACAAGGCCCAGCACUGGGUGCCACUGGUAGGCUUGUGAGGUGCCAGGUGGCCGCCAGGCUCUGGCCACAGUCAAACUGGGAGAAAGAGCAGUAAUCGCUGAGACCGGAUAGCUCCAGGCCUUACGGAGCGUGGACCGAGGCUGCAGGGAGCCGGAGUCCUUGGUGGCCGGGACCAGCCUCCAGAAACCCCUGAGGGGUUUGGGAAGGGGGACCUGCCUGAACCGCUCACGUGCACUCGGCCAUGGCCCCCGGCCCUCCUUCCGCGGAGCCUGACGCAGACGACCACGAACACAGUCCAAGAAGUGACCGAACGAGGGACAACUGUACCCUCAGGACUUGGUCAGGGAGAUGGCCCCAUGUGGGGGUGGGAGACUCCUCGGAUAAUUACUUGCAAGGGAGGGGUGAGCCUGCGCUAACUUGCUGUCUAGAGGAGCAGGGCCAGUUCCCUGGGGCUUUCUGUUUCCUGAUCUGGAGACAGGGCCUAAGUGGAAUUGUUUGGGACGCUGGUGUGUGAGCUUUGCCUGGAGGGGCGGGAGGGAGGGGACUGGAAGCAGCUCUGCCUCCGCAAAGACGCAUAGAUGGGGAGGCAUUCCAUUCCAUUGAAAUGUCUGCUUUCUCAGGGCCUGCAGUGCCUCCAGCAGAGCUGCUUCAGGGUGAGAAAGAGGAGGGAUUUCUGCUGGGUCCUGGAAGAGCGGCCGGGAAAGGCAGAGGCUGCCGGGAUGGAGAGGACCUGCCCGAUGGUGGUCCUGGUCCCUGUCCUUGCAGCCUGAGUGUCAGACGGUGGAGCCACACGCCACUGUGAUGCUCCGUGACCAUGUGGGACAAGUCACAGCUGGGUGUCCGGCGCCAUCCCAGCAACGGCCUGUGCUCUGAGGUCCGAGAAGCACCAGGAUGCGUCUUAAGCCUGAGCUCUGGUGGGACUUCAGCAGGAUAAAUGACGUUCAACUAAAGGGUCCAACAAACAUACUGCGAUGUAGCCGAGCUGGUGUCUGAGCCAAGGACAAUCCACACAGAUAUACUGAAGCCCCCACCAGGUGGAAGACGUUAACGACAUGAUGACCAGGCUGUCGCCGUGACAUCAGCUGCCACCGUUCCAAGAACUGGCCUCAAAGAGAUGAGAACACACCGACCCUGGAGCUGAAGGUUAACUGUACCUAAAACAACCAGAUGACGCUGGUCAGACCACCGAUGACCAAAUUCAAGGUGACUGUCAGAGCCGACGGUGCUGUUUCUGCACGUAGCCCCCUCCCUCUGUCUAUAAAAGCUCCUGCCCCCUGAUUGUUGCGGGGGACGGAGUAUCAGCCUUUGGACAGGCGUCUGCGCUCCCCUGAUUGCCGGCAGCCAAAAUAAAGCCAACUUUCCACCAGCCUGGCCUCUUUUCUGGCUUGUGAGCGGUGAGCAGCCGGACCCCACCUUCGGUUACGAUACCUGUCUUCACUUUACAGUUUCUGUCCCCUUUGCCCUUUUAUCCUGUGUGGGGGGGACCUUCUUCACUUGCUUUACCAACCCCCACAUUUUAUUUCCAACCGUGUUCUUUCUGCGGCUCGGUUCCUGGAUUAAACGUUGUAUUUCUUUAAUCACUGCUGUUUCCCGACAGCUAUUUUCUAGGUCUCUCGGGGGUUCUUCUCCACAGGACCCUUGGGGGUGGUUUUAUCCUCCUGGACGGCACUGUGAACGUGAAUCCGCGUUUAUACAAUAAAAGAUUCUCUUC